rnacentral:rRNA from 1 species
CCUACGGGAGGCAGCAGUGAGGAAUAUUGGUCAAUGGGCGCGAGCCUGAACCAGCCAAGUCGCGUGAGGGAGGACGGCCCUACGGGUUGUAAACCUCUGUUGCCGGGGAGCAACGGGCGGCACGUGUGGCGCCACUGAGAGUACCCGGAGAAAAAGCAUCGGCUAACGCCGUGCCAGCAGCCGAGGUAAUACGGAGGAUGCGAGCGUUAGCCGGAUUUAUUGGGUUACAGGGUGCGUAGGCGGAUCGUUAAGUCAGUGGUCAAAUUGAGGGGCUCAACCCCUUCCCGCCAUUGAAACUGGCGUUCUUGAGUGGACGAGAAGUAUGCGGCUUGCGUGGUGUAGCGGU